rnacentral:rRNA from 1 species
GGAAUUGUUCGCAAUGGGCGCAAGCCUGACGACGCAACGCCGCGUGGAGGAUGAAGAUCUUCGGGUCGUGAACUCCUGUCGAGUGGGAAGAAACGUUUCGGGGCGAAUAUCCCCGGCAUUUGACGGUACCACUAAACGCAGCCACGCCUAACUCCGUGCCAGCAGCCGCGGUAAUACGGGGGGGGCAAGCGUUGUUCGGAAUUACUGGGCGUAAAGGGCUCGUAGGCGGCCAACUAAGUCGGAUGUGAAAUCCCCAGGCUCAACCUGGGAACUGCAGCCGAUACUGGAUGGCUUGAAUUCGGGAGAGGGAUGCAGAAUUCCAGGUGUAGCGGUGAAAUGCGUAGAUAUCUGGAGGAAUACCGGUGGCGAAGGCGGCAUCCUGGACCGACAUUGACGCUGAGGAGCGAAAGCUAGGGGAGCAAAC